rnacentral:rRNA from 1 species
AGUGAACGCUGGCGGUAGGCCUAACACAUGCAAGUCGAACGGCAGCACAGUAAGAGCUUGCUCUUACGGGUGGCGAGUGGCGGACGGGUGAGGAAUACAUCGGAAUCUACUUUUUCGUGGGGGAUAACGUAGGGAAACUUACGCUAAUACCGCAUACGACCUACGGGUGAAAGCAGUGGAUCUUCGGACCUUGCGCGAUUGAAUGAGCCGAUGUCGGAUUAGUUAGUUGGCGAGGUAAAGGCCCACCAAGGCGACGAUCCGUAGCUGGUCUGAGAGGAUGAUCAGCCACACUGGAACUGAGACACGGUCCAGACUCCUACGGGAGGCAGCAGUGGGGAAUAUUGGACAAUGGGCGCAAGCCUGAUCCAGCCAUACCGCGUGGGUGAAGAAGGCCUUCGGGUUGUAAAGCCCUUUUGUUGGGAAAGAAAAGCAGCAGGUUAAUCCCCCGCUGUUCUGACGGUACCCAAAGAAUAAGCACCGGCUAACUUCGUG